rfam:Sporanaerobacter acetigenes DSM 13106 genome assembly, contig: EJ96DRAFT_scaffold00005.5
AUAUUUAUAUCGCUUAAUUUUUUCACAAAUAAUGUGAGAAGAGCGGGGGACCCAGUAUUUGGGGUGAAUCCUUUUUGUUCUAUAAGGUAGGGUAUGCCCUUAACCCGAACCCAUCAGCUAACCUCGUAAGCGUGGAAGGGGGAUUGG